rnacentral:piRNA from 1 species
GAGUCUACUCUUGUUUGUUGUCCUAUAGA